rnacentral:rRNA from 1 species
UACAGAGGUCCCAAGCGUUGUUCGGAUUCAUUGGGCGUAAAGGGCGCGUAGGCGGCUUGGCAAGUGGAUGGUGAAAUCCCUCGGCUUAACCGAGGAACUGCCGUCCAAACUGCUUUGCUUGAGACCGGGAGAGGUGAGUGGAAUUCCCAGUGUAGCGGUGAAAUGCGUAGAUAUUGGGAGGAACACCAGUGGCGAAGGCGGCUCACUGGACCGGUACUGACGCUGAGGCGCGAAAGCGUGGGGAGCAAACGGG